rnacentral:rRNA from 1 species
AAAUUGAAGAGUUUGAUCAUGGCUCAGAUUGAACGCUGGCGGCAGGCCUAACACAUGCAAGUCGAACGGUAGCACAGAGAGCUUGCUCUCGGGUGACGAGUGGCGGACGGGUGAGUAAUGUCUGGGAAACUGCCCGAUGGAGGGGGAUAACUACUGGAAACGGUAGCUAAUACCGCAUAACGUCGCAAGACCAAAGUGGGGGACCUUCGGGCCUCACACCAUCGGAUGUGCCCAGAUGGGAUUAGCUAGUAGGUGGGGUAACGGCUCACCUAGGCGACGAUCCCUAGCUGGUCUGAGAGGAUGACCAGCCACACUGGAACUGAGACACGGUCCAGACUCCUACGGGAGGCAGCAGUGGGGAAUAUUGCACAAUGGGCGCAAGCCUGAUGCAGCCAUGCCGCGUGUAUGAAGAAGGCCUUCGGGUUGUAAAGUACUUUCAGCGAGGAGGAAGGCGUUGUGGUUAAUAACCGCAGCGAUUGACGUUACUCGCAGAAGAAGCACCGGCUAACUCCGUGCCAGCAGCCGCGGUAAUACGGAGGGUGCAAGCGUUAAUCGGAAUUACUGGGCGUAAAGCGCACGCAGGCGGUUUGUUAAGUCAGAUGUGAAAUCCCCGGGCUCAACCUGGGAACUGCAUUUGAAACUGGCAAGCUUGAGUCU